UACAGAGGUCUCAAGCGUUGUUCGGAUUCAUUGGGCGUAAAGGGUGCGUAGGUGGCGGGGUAAGUCAGGUGUGAAAUUUCGGAGCUCAACUCCGAAACUGCAUUUGAUACUGCGUGGCUAGAGGUAGGUAGGGGAGAUCGGAAUUCCUGGUGUAGCGGUGAAAUGCGCAGAUAUCAGGAGGAACACCGGUGGCGAAGGCGGAUCUCUGGGCCUUACCUGACGCUCAGGCGCGAAAGCUAGGGGAGCGAACAGG
rnacentral:rRNA from 1 species